AUCAUAUGGGCAUCUUGUUAAAAUGAAGAUUCUGAUUCAUUGGAUCUUCUGUGGAGCUCAAGACUUUGCAUUUCUAGCAAGCUCCCCAGUGAUGCUGA
rnacentral:pre_miRNA from 1 species